GACGGAGGGGGCAAGCGUUGUCCGGAAUUACUGGGCGUAAAGGGCGCGUAGGCGGAAUGGCAAGUCGGUCGUGAAAUCCUUCGGCUCAACCGAAGAACGUCGAUCGAAACUGCCGUUCUUGAGGAUUGCAGAGGAGACUGGAAUUCCCGGUGUAGCGGUGAAAUGUGUAGAGAUCGGGAGGAACACCGGUGGCGAAGGCGGGUCUCUGGGCAAUUCCUGACGCUGAGGCGCGAAAGCGUGGGGAGCAAACGGG
rnacentral:rRNA from 1 species